rnacentral:rRNA from 1 species
UACACUCCUACGGGAGGCAGCAGUGGGGAAUAUUGGACAAUGGGCGCAAGCCUGAUCCAGCCAUGCCGCGUGAGUGAUGAAGGCCCUAGGGUUGUAAAGCUCUUUCACCGGUGAAGAUAAUGACGGUAACCGGAGAAGAAGCCCCGGCUAACUUCGUGCCAGCAGCCGCGGUAAUACGAAGGGGGCUAGCGUUGUUCGGAUUUACUGGGCGUAAAGCGCACGUAGGCGGACUAUUAAGUCAGGGGUGAAAUCCCGGGGCUCAACCCCGGAACUGCCUUUGAUACUGGUAGUCUGGAGUUCGAGAGAGGUGAGUGGAAUUCCGAGUGUAGAGGUGAAAUUCGUAGAUAUUCGGAGGAACACCAGUGGCGAAGGCGGCUCACUGGCUCGAUACUGACGCUGAGGUGCGAAAGCGUGGGGAGCAAACAGGAUUAGAAACCCCUGUAGUCCCAUGAU